rnacentral:rRNA from 1 species
UACGAAGGGGGCUAGCGUUGCUCGGAAUCACUGGGCGUAAAGCGCACGUAGGCGGACUUUUAAGUCGGAGGUGAAAUCCUGGAGCUCAACUCCAGAACUGCCUUCGAUACUGAGAGUCUCCGAGUCCGGGAGAGGUGAGUGGAACUGCGAGUGUAGAGGUGAAAUUCGUAGAUAUUCGCAAGAACACCAGUGGCGAAGGCGGCUCACUGGCCCGGUACUGACGCUGAGGUGCGAAAGCGUGGGGAGCAAACAGG